rnacentral:misc_RNA from 1 species
UUUCAUAGCAACCCUUUCCAUCCUUUUCAAGGAAGUACAUAAAGAAUUAGAAGAUAAAAGAAUUUGGUGAAUAAUGAAAGUUAGUGGUGGUCCUGUGAAUUGAAAAGAAAGCAACAAGUUGAUGAGAAUAAACAGUAGUUUUAAGGCCUCUAUCAAUCCACUUGUGUGAAAUAGAACAGGACUUGGUCUUUUAUUGAAGCCAGUGUCCAUGUUUUCAAUUGCCAAAAGUGUACCAAUUGUGUUGAUCUAAUUGGAGUCAUCAUAAUCUUACUUUUGGAAUCAUAUUUGGCCUGACAAGUUACAAUAAUCAUCAUUGUAGCAGCAUAACAAGACAAAAAAAAUCAGACUGGUUAAUGAAUCAAUCUAUGUAUUGACCUUGCAGAAUCAAGUUUAGCACCUGAAAAUAACAGUGCAGAAUCACUUGCUAUAAUUGGGCCGAGCCCAAAAAGUUAAGCCCAAACACUAAAGUGGGCUCAAACCAUACAGAAUAAAGAAAGAUAGCUUAGAAAACUGAAAGUAAACGCUCGUAUCAAGGAACAAUAAUCAUCGAGAUUAAGGAAGAUGAAGCCACAGGAUCUUUAGCAAAUUGUAAGGGUAUUCAUGUACUUUAUGAACAAAAAGGAAAAGGGAGGUACCCGAAAAUUAUGGCAAGAAUGAA